GGGGUGUGGGGGGCGGCGGGCCGGAGGGACGAGGGCGGGCGAGAGGCGCGCGCUGGGAUUGGCGCCGAAGACCGGACCCUCAGCCGCUAGGGGGGCCUGGAGAAGAUCACAAGGGAGCCUGCAUGUGAGAUCUCUUUGGAAACCCUGAAGCACUCUGUGAAUGAAAAGGCUUGUGAUGAUACAGUGAGAAGGCAGCCAUCGGCAAGCCAGGAAGGGGGCGCUCACCAAGAAUUGAAUCUUCUGGUACCUUGAUCUUGGACUUCCCAGCCUCCAGAACGGUGAAAAAUAAAUGUCUGUUGUUAAGCCGCC